CACGUAGGGUGCGAGCGUUGUCCGGAAUUAUUGGGCGUAAAGAGCUCGUAGGCGGUCUGUCGCGUCGAAUGUGAAAACCCGGGGCUCAACUCCGGGCUUGCAUUCGAUACGGGCAGGCUAGAGUUCGGUAGGGGAGUCUGGAAUUCCUGGUGUAGCGGUGAAAUGCGCAGAUAUCAGGAGGAACACCGGUGGCGAAGGCGGGACUCUGGGCCGAUACUGACGCUGAGGAGCGAAAGCGUGGGGAGCAAACAGG
rnacentral:rRNA from 1 species